rnacentral:rRNA from 1 species
CCUACGGGUGGCUGCAGUGGGGAAUAUUGCACAAUGGGCGCAAGCCUGAUGCAGCCAUGCCGCGUGUGUGAAGAAGGCCUUCGGGUUGUAAAGCACUUUCAGCGGGGAGGAAGGCGUUAAGGUUAAUAACCUUGUCGAUUGACGUUACCCGCAGAAGAAGCACCGGCUAACUCCGUGCCAGCAGCCGCGGUAAUACGGAGGGUGCAAGCGUUAAUCGGAAUUACUGGGCGUAAAGCGCACGCAGGCGGUCGGUCAAGUCGGAUGUGAAAUCCCCGGGCUCAACCUGGGAACUGCAUUCGAAACUGGCAGGCUAGAGUCUUGUAGAGGGGGGUAGAAGUCCAGGUGUAGCGGUGAAAUGCGUAGAGAUCUGGAGGAAUACCGGUGGCGAAGGCGGCCCCCUGGACAAAGACUGACGCUCAGGUGCGAAAGCGUGGGGAGCAAACAGGGUUAGAUACCCGAGUAGUC